AACAACAAGAACAUGCCAGGCUAAUAAGACUUGGAGUGGUACAGAAUCUUAUUGUAAUAUAAUUUAUUGCUCUGCACUAGAAGAACCUCAGAAAGGAGAAAGAAUGGGAGAUGAAACAAUUUGCUCAGCACGUGUUGAGUUUAAAUGUGAUACAGGGUAUAGACUGAGUGGCUCCAGUAUUCGAACAUGCUUGGAAAACAGAACAUGGAGUGGACAACAGCCAACUUGUGACUUGGUUUACUGUGAAGAACUGUCAUCUCCAAGUGAUGGCAUUAAGCUGGGCAAUGAGACAGUUGUUUUUUCUCAAGUUUU